rnacentral:tRNA from 1 species
UCCGUUGUAGUCUAGUUGGUUAGGAUACUCGGCUCUCACCGAGAGACCCGGGUUCAAUCCCGGCAACGGAA